rnacentral:rRNA from 1 species
AGACCCGAAACCCGGUGAUCUAGCCAUGGGCAGGUUGAAGGUUGGGUAACACUAACUGGAGGACCGAACCGACUAAUGUUGAAAAAUUAGCGGAUGACCUGUGGCUGGGGGUGAAAGGCCAAUCAAACCGGGAGAUAGCUGGUUCUCCCCGAAAGCUAUUUAGGUAGCGCCUCGUGAAUUCAUCUCCGGGGGUAGAGCACUGUUUCGGCUAGGGGGCCAUCCCGGCUUACCAACCCGAUGCAAACUGCGAAUACCGGAGAAUGUUAUCACGGGAGACACACGGCGGGUGCUAACGUCCGUCGUGAAGAGGGAAACAACCCAGACCGCCAGCUAAGGUCCCAAAGUCAUGGUUAAGUGGGAAACGAUGUGGGAAGGCCCAGACAGCCAGGAUGUUGGCUUAGAAGCAGCCAUCAUUUAAAGAAAGCGUAAUAGCUCACUGGUCGAGUCGGCCUGCGCGGAAGAUGUAACGGGGCUAAACCAUGCACCGAAGCUGCGGCAGCGACACUCAGGUGUUGUUGGGUAGGGGAGCGUUCUGUAAGCCUGCGAAGGUGGCCUGUGAGGGUUGCUGGAGGUAUCAGAAGUGCGAAUGCUGACAUAAGUAACGAUAAAGCGGGUGAAAAGCCCGCUCGCCGGAAGACCAAGGGUUCCUGUCCAACGUUAAUCGGGGCAGGGUGAGUCGACCCCUAAGGCGAGGCCGAAAGGCGUAGUCGAUGGGAAACGGGUUAAUAUUCCCGUACUUGGUGUUACUGCGAAGGGGGGACGGAGAAGGCUAUGUUGGCCGGGCGACGGUUGUCCCGGUUUAAGCGUGUAGGUGUGUGUUCCAGGUAAAUCCGGUUCACUUUAACACUGAGGCGUGAUGACGAGGCACUACGGUGCUGAAGCAACAAAUGCCCUGCUUCCAGGAAAAGCCUCUAAGCAUCAGGUAACAUCAAAUCGUACCCCAAACCGACACAGGUGGUCAGGUAGAGAAUACCAAGGCGCUUGAGAGAACUCGGGUGAAGGAACUAGGCAAAAUGGUGCCGUAACUUCGGGAGAAGGCACGCUGACAUGUAGGUGAAGUGAUUUACUCAUGGA